GGCUCAGUGGUGGAUGGUCCAUCCCUGUCUUCUGUGCGGCAAUGAGAUGUUUUCCAAGCAGGAGACAGCCGGUUCGAAUCAGGCCCGAGCUA